ensembl:lncRNA
GAUUGAUGCUAAAACCUGUUGACGUUUAAUGACCUUCAAAUAACAUUCUGACCCAAGCUUUUAGUUUUAAUGCCUUUUAGCACGUGUUGGCUCUGGAUUGAGUGAAGAACAGAGGUCUCUUUGCCUCUUCUUUCCUUUAAACAAACCAACUUCUCUCCUUCCUCUAUAAACAUUUGAAAACCGUUUUCUUUCUUAAUCGCGUGACUCCUGCGUUGUUCAGAUUCACUCUUGUUCUCCUUUGCCUCCUUGUGCUUUAACGCGUAACCACGGCAACGGGAGAAAGUAACGUAACUAAAGUGGACGCUGAACUGAACCUCCUCGGGUCUGAACUAAACCAAAAGCUGUCUUCAUGUGGCCGAGCAGCCUGGCGAAGAUCAGAAGAGGAGACACAGAACCAAGACACAGAACGCCGGGACAGUUUCCUUGGCUCUUUACGCCACACAAUCCUUCCCCGUCCUUAUCGGUCCUCAUCAGCCCCCUCGGCCCGUCCAUCCGUCCACCUCAAUGACAAUCAAAGGCCUCUGGGGCUCAGCGGAGAGCCACAAAGUCGUCUUCUGACCACUUGAAGUGCUUCAAAAUCAUGACGUCAUUCACCCAUUCAUCAGGACUAACACUAUCACAACUUCCCGAGGCCACG